AUACGUAGGGGGCGAGCGUUGUCCGGAAUGAUUGGGCGUAAAGGGCGCGUAGGCGGCUUUGCAAGUCAGUAGUGGAAGUCCAUUUUUCAAGGAUGGAAGUGCUACAGAAACUGCGGAGCUUGAGUGCAGGAGAGGUUAUCGGAAUUCCCGGUGUAGCGGUGAAAUGCGUAGAGAUCGGGAGGAACACCAGUGGCGAAGGCGGGUAACUGGACUGCAACUGGCGCUGAGGCGCGAAAGUGUGGGGAGCAAACAGGAUUAGAUACCCUGGUAGUCCACACCGUAAACGAUGAAUGCUAGGUGUAGGAGGUAUCGACCCCUUCUGUGCCGCAGUAAACACAGUAAGCAUUCCGCCUGGGGAGUACGGUCGCAAGAUUAAAACUCAAAGGAAUUGACGGGG
rnacentral:rRNA from 1 species